AAUUCUGUUCGGCCUUAGAGGGAAAGAGUGGACUGAGAGAGGAGCGAAGAUGAUAUAAGCUGUGAUGGUGAUGAACACUCACGGCAAGCCUCGCCUUGCAAAAUUUUACGAAUAUCUGUGGAAAAGCAGCAGGAGCUUACACGAAGCGUUUUUGCGGGUUCCGAUCUCUUACCAACAUUCUUCUUCUUCGUCCUCUUCUUCUUACUUUAGCUUCUUGUGCUGUAGAGCUGAGAACGUAAGCAAUUUCAUAGAGGCUGAAUCCAUUUUUGGUCCGGAUAGUCGCCUUCUAUACAAGCAUUUUGCUACUCUUGACUUUGUUGUUGUAUAUAGUUCUGAAAUUGAACUAGCCGUGCUUGACUUGAUACAAGUCUUUGUGGAAAUGUUGGACAAAUGCUUCAAGAAUGUUUGCAAGCUUGACAUUGUGUUCAAUUACAGCAAGGUUAUACGAGAUGAUGUUUUUGGAAAACGUAUAUGGGGUAUGCUUCAGGUUCAGGUUUCAAACGUUACUUGAUGGCUGCGAAAGCUUCUUGUUUAGAGUCAGUUUGGAAGUUAACUUAACAGUAUUUUACUUGAUAGCCUAUUUUGUUGAUUUUGUAGUGAAUCCUUUGUUGCUGCCAAAGCUAGCUGAACAUUAGUGCCUUCAUGCCCCGCUAGCCACGGGCUGUCUUUGGAAUAUGCUUGAUAAUCACUUUUUGUUACGUCACUGUAACAUCCUAAAUGAACACUCAAAACUGAUCAAAGUCGGUUGAAUGCUUUCUUACUAAUAUAUUCUGCUGGGGUCAUUGACGGAAUUUUAAAUGUAUCAUAUAAUUGCUUUAGUCUGGUAAUGUUCUGUUCCAUGGUCAACAAUCCUUUACAGAUAUGCUAUCCUGGAUGAGAUAAUUUUUGAAGGUCAAGUGCUGGAAACAAGUUCAACAAAAGUUAGGUUAGAAGCUGCCUCAAAUGCUAUCACACUCAUUCCCAAGUCUGCUUCUGGUUGGCGAAGUAGGUAGUUCUGCAUUCAAAUGCUGUUAAAAUCAUUCCUCGAUUAUUUCCUGUCACUGUGAGUUGAUAGUUUGUGAUUUUCACUAACUUGGGCUUUAGUGAAGAGAUUUGUUUCAUUUUGGCCCACAUCAUCAAAAGUUAAGAGGUAUUAUAUUUGAUUAGUUAUUUUCUGCUUCAGAGUAGGAAAUAAAUACGUGUAACAAGCUGUUUUAUUAGCACACGCCACCAACUUUGAGUAUCUAUCCUGAUUUUUGCAAUUCGUGAUAUGCUUUACUCUGAUGUC